UACGUAGGGUGCGAGCGUUGUCCGGAAUUACUGGGCGUAAAGCGUGCGCAGGCGGCUUCUCAAGUCAGGGGUGAAAGCCCAGAGCUCAACUCUGGAAUUGCCUUUGAGACUGAGUGGCUUGAGUACGGGAGAGGUGAGUGGAAUUCCCAGUGUAGAGGUGAAAUUCGUAGAUAUUGGGAAGAACACCGGUGGCGAAGGCGGCGACCUGGUCCUUGACUGACGCUGAGGCGCGAAAGCGUGGGGAGCAAACAGG
rnacentral:rRNA from 1 species